AACGAACGCUGGCGGCAUGCCUAACACAUGCAAGUCGAACGAGACCUUCGGGUCUAGUGGCGCACGGGUGCGUAACGCGUGGGAACCUGCCCUUAGGUUCGGAAUAACUCCCCGACAGGGGUGCUAAUACCGGAUAAUGUCUUCGGACCAAAGAUUUAUCGCCUUAGGAUGGGCCCGCGUUGGAUUAGCUUGUUGGUAGGGUAAAAGCCUACCAAGGCGACGAUCCAUAGCUGGUCAGAGAGGAUGAUCAGCCACACUGGGACUGAGACACGGCCCAGACUACUACGGGAGGCGGCAGUGGGGAAUAUUGGACAACGGGCGAAGGGCUGAUCCAGCAAUGCCGCGUGAGUGAUGAAGGCCUUAGGGUUGUAAAGCUCUUUUACCCGGGAUGAUAAUGACAGUACCGGGAGAAUAAGCUCCGGCUAACUCCGUG
rnacentral:rRNA from 1 species